rnacentral:lncRNA from 1 species
AUCACAAGUUCAAAGCCAGCCUCAGCCACUUAGUGAGACCCUGCCUCAAAAUAAAAAAUAACGGUCAGGUUGGGGAAGAACCAAGUCAUAAUGCUCUCUCCCAUUCCAACCUAUCUUUAGAAUUGUUACCUCACUGAUGCCUCACUUGAUACUUCACCUGACAUCUUCAGUUACAGAUGACGUUCUUUCUAGUUAAUGAUUAGCCUAAGCUUUAUAAAUCUCUGAUCAGGGUCACUGCAUCAGCCUUUUCAUCAUGCUUCCUCCAAUCCAAUGGCCAUUAAUGAUGCAAAUCUGACUGUUCCUUCUGGAGCUUUGUAGGGCUGCAAUUUGUUUAUGUGUUUUGUUACUGGGGAUUGAAUCCAGGGCCACUUUGCCACUGUGCUACAUCUCCAGCCCUUUUAAUUUUUUGAGACAGGUCUCAUCAUAUUGUCAGGACUGGCCCUACACUAUCGCAUGCCUGCAAUCCCAGCGGCUCAAGAGACUGAGGCAGGAGGAUUGUGAAUUCAAAGCCAGCCUCAGCAAUUUAGCAAGGCCCUAAGCAACUUAGAAGACCCUAUCUCAAAAUAAAAAACAAAAAGGGCUGGGGAUGUGGCUCAGGGGUUGAGUGCCCCUAAGUUCAAUUCCUGUUUUUUUUUAAAAAAAGGCCUUAAACUUGUGAUCCUCUUGCCUCAGCCUCCUCAAGUCACUGGGAUUAUAGGCAUGUGCCACUGCACCCAGCCCAGUUCCUGAGAUUUUUUAAAUUUCUGUAUGUCCAGAUUACCUGCACUGUCCUUCCAAAGGCUAGCACCUGAGGCUCUUUGACAACUGUCUGAGGUCUUGCCUGAAAAAGCUGAAAACAAUUUUCAACCCAAGUUUAAAUUCUUUCCUACCCCCACUUCCCAACACAGACUUUAACCAUUAACUAUCAAGUGGAGGAAUUAAUGAGUGGAGCUUAACUCUCUUACUUUUACCUUAAGGCAUAAUUUACUGGCCCUGGACUUUAGCCCAAGAUCACAUCCUUGCUCGGUUUCUCCCCUUCUUUCCUGCCUCUCCUACUCCCUUUUGGGAGACACUUUCUUUACAAAUCACUUGGACAUAAAUCCUCCUCUCAGGGUCUGCUUUUAGGGAAUCCAAAGUAAAACAUCCCUUCCUAGCAUAAAACCCACCAAUGGAUCCCUACUGCCUCCAGGGUAAAGCCUAUGCUUCAAGGCCCUACACCUUUUGGUUGCUGC